CCAAAAGGCACUAAUCUAGUAGAAUUAGAUUUAGAAAUAAUCUUAACACCCUUCUUUACGUGUAUGACUGACUAAAAAGAUAAUAAAAAUAUAAUAAUAAAACAAGAUAGGAAUAAGUUAGGACGCAAGAAUUAAACUCAAGACCUUUUGAAAUGAAGGGAUUUAAGAUUGACUCCAGAUAUCAUGUAACCGCAAAAUCAAUUUAAUCAAAAACAGAUUGAU
rnacentral:lncRNA from 1 species